rnacentral:lncRNA from 1 species
AACUAUUUUAAGUUGUCUCAAUUUACUCGACUUUAGAUAUUUUAGAUGAUAUUUGUUUACUCACUGAGUUUAUAUAAACUCACCACCCUCCUUUCCACUCAUCCCAAGCUCAAGAUAGUCAGUAAAUAGCUGAUUACGUCGAGGGUUAUUAUUGGACUCGCCUCUUCAGAAAUUGUAGGUCCACAGCCUUUGUUACCUUUGGUCAUUCAGGGACCCACACG